rnacentral:rRNA from 1 species
UAGCAGAGGUGGCAAGCGUUGUUCGGAAUUACUGGGCGUAAAGGGCGCGUAGGCGGUCCGAUAAGUCCUGUGUGAAAUCCCUCGGCUCAACUGAGGAACUGCACGGGAGACUGUCGGGCUUGAGUUCGGGAGAGGGAAGCGGAAUUCCGGGUGUGAGCGGUGAAAUGCGUAGAUAUCCGGAGGAACACCGGUGGCGAAGGCGGCAUCCUGGACCAACACUGACGCUGAGUGAGCGAAAGCCAGGGAGCAACGGG